UGGGGAAUUUUGGACAAUGGGCGAAAGCCUGAUCCAGCAAUGCCGCGUGUGUGAAGAAGGCCUUCGGGUUGUAAAGCACUUUUGUCCGGAAAGAAAUCCUUGGCUCUAAUACAGUCGGGGGAUGACGGUACUGGAAGAAUAAGCACCGGCUAACUACGUGCCAGCAGCCGCGGCAAUACGUAGGGUGCAAGCGUUAAUCGGAAUUACUGGGCGUAAAGCGUGCGCAGGCGGUUUGCUAAGACCGAUGUGAAAUCCCCGGGCUCAACCUGGGAACUGCAUUGGUGACUGGCAGGCUAGAGUAUGGCAGAGGGGGGUAGAAUUCCACGUGUAGCAGUGAAAUGCGUAGAGAUGUGGAGGAAUACCGAUGGCGAAGGCAGCCCCCUGGGCCAAAUACUGACGCUCAUGCACGAAAGCGUGGGGAGCAAACAGGAUUAGAUACCCUGGUAGUCCACGCCCUAAACGAUGUCAACUAGUUGUUGGGGAUUCAUUUCCUUAGUAACGUAGCUAACGCGUGAAGUUGACCGCCUGGGGGAGUACGGUCGCAAGAUUAAAACUCAAAUGAAUUGACGGGGUCAUAGCUGUUUCCU
rnacentral:rRNA from 1 species